GACUGGAAUAGUCAUUCAUCUUAUCAUAUACUAAAGGUCAUAUAAGAGACUAUACUAGAUAUCAGCUACUGAAUGAUGAAUACUUUCCAGUGUUUGGUCCUUUUUGCUGCUAUUGGAUUCAUGAUUACUGCAACUACUGCGGCUGGUUUAGGGCCGUUUCCAUGCUAUCCUCAUUAUUACUGUGAGGGGACUAAUACAACUUCCGCUGAAAUAUGCUGUGACAUUCCUGGGAUCAAAUCCUUUAUGGGAAUUGACCCUUGGACACUUGAUCCCCUCUGCACCAAUUGCAAGGCCUGAGAGAAAGAAGCUCUGAAAAGGAAAGACUCUGUACUUUCAAUUAAUAAAUAAACAUUAACUAACAAUAAAUAAAUAAUUAUAUAACAUAAUCUUAAGUAUUUCAGAUCUGAUAAUAAAGUUACAUUAAAAACAAA